rnacentral:rRNA from 1 species
UUGGAGGGCAAGUCUGGUGCCAGCAGCCGCGGUAAUUCCGGCUCCAAUAGCGUAUAUUAAAGUUGUUGCAGUUAAGAAGCUCGUAGUUGAAUUUUAGGCCUGGCCAGGCGGUCCGUCUUUGGCGAGUACUGUUCUGUGUCGGGUCUUACCUUCUGGUGAACCGUUAUGUCCUUAAUUGAGUGUACCGGGGAGCCAGGACCAUUACCUUGAAAAAACUAGAGUGUUUAAAGCGGGCUAUUGCUUGAAUAGAUUAGCAUGGAAUAAUAGAAUAGGACGUUGGUUCUAUUUUGUUGGUUUCUAGGACCACCGUAAUGAUUAAUAGGGAUAGUUGGGGGCAUUAGUAUUCAAUUGUCAGAGGUGAAAUUCUUGGAUUUAUUGAAGACUAACUAUUGCGAAAGCAUUUGCCAAGGAUGUUUUCAUUAAUCAAGAACGAAAGUUAGGGGAUCGAAGACGAUCAGACACCGUCGUAGUCUUAACCAUAAACUAUGCCGACUAGGAAUCGGGCGACGUUAUUUUCAUGACUCGCUCGGCGCCUUACGGGAAAC